CUCGAUCCCGGUCUCUCUAGCCGUCGACCCUCGACCGUCUCCCUUCUCCUCUCUUUUUCCCGAUCUAGAUGGCGCCUCCCACCUCGGCGGGGCGGCGGCCUUGAGCGCCUCCAGCGCCCCCUGUAUCUCCACGAUCCCCUUCCUGCAGUCCUAGCCGCCCCUCUCUAUUUCCUAACGGAUCGCCGCUUAGGGUUCCGGCAUGCCACCACCGCCUCCCGUGCUCCCUGCCACCGCCCCUGCAUCUCAACCGCCGUCCGCCGGCCCACCACUCCUCCGUCGACCUCCCUCAAUCUUUUGUCUAUGGUUCCCCGCCUCCGCCUCCGCCUCCGCCGCCGUCGCCGGCGCCAUCGCAAAAUCCCAGGGCAGGUCAGGACUACAGGCUGGUGGUGCUUGUGUGGAGUCGCCGCCGCGGAUCCCUAGGGUCGCCGCCACCGCCGCUGAUCCUCACGGACGAAGCAGACGCCGGCGAACAGGGUAGGGCGUGGCCAACGAGGAGCAGCAGCCGGAUUUGUGCACAAUUGGCGGCAGAUUUGCUGUUGCUGGCCCCUUAUGCGCUCCCCCCCAAUUGCAGAGAUGGGGAGAUUUUUGUGUGUGACUGGGUGAUGCCGUUGAUGUGCUGCUUCUACCAAUGGAGGGUGUCUAAUGUUGCUGCUGCUAAUGCCUACACAGAGAGAGAGAGAGAGAUUGUUGUGACGGAAAACAUUGAGAUCUAACAGAAGUACCCGCGCAGGCAUUGCAUUGGUUGAAUGCAAAACAUGAAAAAAAAUAUGAAAAUUCUACUUCCAACUGAAAAUGGUAACCGGCAAGCAGGUGGAUCCACAACUUGGUGGAUGGAAUUUCAAGGCACACUGUUCAGGUUAACCCCAAUGCAUGGACUGCAAUCUACAUCAUCCGCCAAAUGACGUACAUCCAGGCAAGCAGGUGGAUCCACAACUUGGUGGAUGGAAUUUCAAGGCACACUGUUCAGGUUAACCCCAAUGCAUGGACUGCAAUCUACAUCAUCCGCCAAAUGACGUACAUCCAGGCAAGCAGGUGGAUCCACAACUUGGUGGAUGGAAUUUCAAGGCACACUGUUCAGGUUAACCCCAAUGCAUGGACUGCAAUCUACAUCAUCCGCCAAAUGACGUACAUCCAGGCCCCUAAAGUGUCAAUCUGGCAUGAACAAAGCUUGAUUGCUUGAAUGGGCUUUGACCAGAUUGUUGUUUUACUGGUCAGUUAGUUCAUCGCAGACUCGAAGUACAGAUGAUCUGAUGUCAGAUUGUUCACACAACGAUGUCCUUGCCACUUCUUUAGAUAAUUUGUUGCUUAGUACAAACUGUAAGAAGCUGAAGCUUACUGAUUUUGGGCUUGCACGAGAGGAAACUACAACUGAAAUGAUGACAACUGAAACUGAGACAUACUGAUGGAUGGCCACAGAGGUUAUACAUCACUCUUUUCUGUAAGAAGCUGAAGCUUACUGAUUUUGGGCUUGCACGAGAGGAAACUACGACUGAAAUGAUGACAACUGAAACUGACACAUACUGAUGGAUGGCCAGAGUUAUACAAUACUGUCACACUUCAACGUGGUUAAAAAAUCACUACACAAACAAAGUGGAUGUUUACAGCUUUGGCAUCAUCCUGUCGGAGUUGCUGGCCAAUAAAAUGCCAUUAGAAGGCAUGUUGAUUUUGCAAGCUGCAUAUAUAUGUUGCUGCUACGGAAUGAUGCCACUUCCUAGAAUGUAGUCUGCACCUAAUUACUGAGGUACGCAACCAUAAUGUUGUAGGAAUCACUAUUUUCUUGCGAGUUUCAAGUGGAUAUUUGAAUCGGUCUUUUCUUGUAACUGAAAUUGGUUGCUCGUAUUUCUUCAUACUGUUUAGCAUUCUGAUGAUGUGAUCUGUUGCAUACCUAAAAUAUAUCAAAAUAUUUUUUGUGAUUUGAAUAAUCAACAUUGAAUCUUGUUGUACUUCUUUUAUGAGGUCUGAUGGAAACUGCAAUGGGCUGUAACGCAUAUAAGUGAAUGAAACAAAUAAUUAAGAACAUCAGGUCGAAGCGGUUGUAGCCCAUAGCUUCACACAUGUGCAUUUGUUUAACAAAUUAAAAUUGACCAUGAGUUUUUACUAUUAAUUGAUGGCUCGAGGGAAGAGACAGCGGCAUAUUCUUCGUGGAAAUCAGGUGUGGGCUUUUGAUUAAUUAGACCCUACUUGUCUUGUCUCAUUGCAUGUCACCCAAUUUCGUUGUCUUCGGGGAAUAGAUGAUGACACAUGGACACCAUUCGGUGGCAGUUUGAUGUUUUUCAGGAAUGAAUUCCACCCGUUAUUCAAUACUACUAUGAGAAAAGUAGGGAAAUGCUCACCCUCUGCAAAAUGUACUGGUUCGUCUUGCGGUCUCACCCCCAAAAACAGAGGAGAGGAGCAGGGAGCUCCUCCCCCACACUCGUCGGCUCCAAGGAGCCCCGCCGCCAUGCAUGGAGAUGAGGAUCAGGGAGCUCCGCCGCCGCGCAAGGCAAACCAAGUCUGCAACAUUUGAAUAUUAUACUCAGUCAGUUGCUCGACUACUUGUAGUCCUAUUACUUGAGACUAUACUUGGUCAGCUGCCAUGUACAUUAUUCUGACAUAAAUGACACCAUGUAUAAGUGCAAGUCAGAAGGAACUGGCCAUCUAAAAAGAUGUCAAAUUAGUUUUGUACAUGCUUCAGUACUGCAAGUUGGAGGAGCAGGUAAGUAUACAUCAAAAGAAAGUACUGCUUCAGUACUGACCAUCUAAAAAGAUGUCUAAUUAGUGUGCACGAAUCAUGUUAAAACCUGCAGUACCUACCUGCGCAUUGAUACUCAUACCUGAAGGUGAUAAAAGUUGCAUCUUGAGAUUCAAUUCUUUGAUUUAUGAUGCUCAGCCAUAUGCACAAUGAGAACAUAUAUCCUUCUUACUAAUCUCUUUUUCUUUAAGUUGAAACUAUUUCUUUGUUACUUGGUGUAUGUGAAGUGCAACCAUAGUCCUGUCACAAACUUGUUUGAGGAUGGCAAAAGACUGGCCUUUUGCGGGACAGAGAAAAGACCGGUUUAUUUUAUUUUAACACAACAUAGCAAGCUCAAUAUAUAUUAGUUAGCACAUGGCUGAUAACUGAUAACUGUAAUAAUAUUAUUGGAGAGUAUUUCCUAUCAGAUAACUAAACUUAACAUCACAUCUCUUGAUUUUUGUUUGUCCUUCUGAGAACCUUAGAACCCUGCUUGGAAGACUAUUUAACCCGUCAUUUUUCUGUUUAUUGUUCAAAAUUGCUUCAGUUAACAUGAUCAUGAACACACAGGCUGUAUAUUUAUUUUAAUCUUGUGUAUUUGUGACCUCACUUUUUAUGCGUUCUGCUGGCAUGUCCUUUCUAGGAGGGCAUAAAAUGUUUUUCCAAUUUUCCUUCCACCAUUUGGUAACCCUUUGCGGAAUGGUUUGGGGAGGUUUGCAACAUUGUCUACUCAUCUGAUGGGAAAUCUAUUUGUUCUCUAUCGCGUGACUCGCUUUGGAACUGAUGCAGAGAUCCUGCUAUUUAAUCAAUGGAUGCAACCCAUGGGGGCAUGCAGAUGAUGGCGAGGCAUCAUGUUGCGGUGACAGCGAGGAAAGUAACCUGGAUGAAGGCAGCGGCAACGGUUGGCUGUCGACGAAAGCGGCGCGGGGAUGGGGGAGGUGGGUGGCAAGGGAUGAUUGGGAGGUGAAUGGCAGCCGAGGAGACGGAGCAGCGGCAAGAUUGGACGAGCUCGCCUUCGGAGUGCGUCCGAGGCAAGAUGUCCUUUCCGGGUUGGCCGAGGGCUUCCUUGUGUGUUUAUUAUUUCCGGCAGAAGUGGUGAACAUGCAGGGUUAAAGCGUUUUCUUUUGCCCAAGGGGAGGGUAGAAAACAAAAAAAAAUCAGAGGGGGAUGGGGAGGUGUGUGGUGGGAGGGGUGGCAACCCUCGAAGCAAGGUUGGUAGGAGCAGACUGUCAUGAACUAAAGUUCAUUUGUUUACUGACAUUUGCAUAUUGUUCAUCCUUUUGUUAUUGAAUUUGGAAACACGUGUAAGGUUUCCAUAUCUUGAAAUUACGAAUACUGAGAAGUGCAAGCCUUUCUCUUUUAGAAAA